GAUUCCUGACCCUGCCUCUUUAGGAUCCGCACGUUGCUGCCUUUCAGCCUCCAAACCUUCGCUCUGGCCGUUCUCUCCACCUGGAAUACCCUUCCGAGCCUCUCUUCACCUCCAUGUCAUUAACUCGCAUACAUCCUUUCAGAUAUUUCCUGAGGGCUUGUGAUUUGCCAGAUCCUGUACCAGGUGCUGGAACUUGGUGAUAGACAAUCCACAGUCUCUGCUCUGAAGACAUCCAUGCAGCCGAUUCAUGUUUACAGCGAGUCCCUCACACCCGCCGUUUCAGGUUACAUACACGGGCGGUGCAGCGGAGAGCGCGGCGGCGAAGUUUCAGGCCCCUGCCCAGCCCCACUCGCCGCAGCCAGGUAGCCCCUCCACCCUUCCUGCCCGGAAGUCCUGCGCGCUCCACCCAAGGACAGGUGGGUUAGCCAGGGCACGCCCACUUCCGUCUCAUUAGCCUAUCGAAUACGUUAUGCAAAUUGACACACGACCCCGCGCCUCACGACAACCAAUGGUUGCGGAGGCGCCGCAGGUCGCCCAGGUUCCCGUUCUCAGGAUGCUCUGGGAGCUCUGCCACGUUUCUGCUGUGGCAGGAAGAACUGAAAUUCCAGAAGCCGGAGAAACAAGCCGCCGUCAAGACUGCUGAAGCGAGGCCUACGGCCCUGUAAUCACACAAGCUCAGGCUUCACGGAAGCUGGAGGCCAUGUCGCCUGAUCCCCGGGCUGACCCCUUCCCUCCCUCCGCGUAGUUCCUGCCAAGCUCCAGGUGCCCGGUGCCCACGUAGUCUCGGUGAACGCAGAGAAAUCACUGCAGAUGUAGCCACGCUUCUCUGAGUUAAGGACUCGGCGUCCGCAGGAGAGCCAAGGCCUCGCUGCUGGGGGUCAGAGCCUCUCAGAGAACAAGAGGCAAGUCCAAGUUCUGCCUCCACCACUUGUUAGCUAUGCGACUUUGGGCAAUCCGCGUCACCUUUCCAAGCCUCAUUUUCCUCAUCUGGAAAAUAGGAAUAAUAACACUGCCCUCCCAGCUACGAUAUGAGGACCAAUGGCUAGUCAAAUGGAAAACACGAGGGUCUUUGCAAGCCAUUGUGCUUGGUGGUUAAGAGUAUCACUUCGGUUAGACAGAUUUGAAUUCAAAUCCUGCUUUUCCCAGUUACUUGUGUUCCAACCUUAAGCAAAUCACUUACUUUAUCUUCUGAUUCUCACUUUCUUCAACUGUAAAGAAUUCCAUGGGCUGUUGUUAGGAUUAAAUGAGUUAAGGUUUAUUGAUUGAGACAGGAUCUCUGUCACCCAAGCUGGAGUGCAGUGGCACAAACACAGCUGACUGCAGCCUCAACCUCCCAAGCUCAAGCGAUCCUCCUGCCUCAGCCUCCCAAGUAGCUGGAACUACAGGCAUGCACCACCACACCUGGCUAAUUUUUUUCUUAUUUUUGUAGAAAUUGAGUCUUACUAGCUGGGCGCAGUGGCUCACACCUGUAAUCCCAGCACUUUGGGAGGCCGAGGCGGGCAGAUCACGAGGUCAGGAGAUUGAGACUAUCCCGACUAACACAGUGAAACCCCGUCUCUACUAAAAAUAUAAAAAAAAGAAAAAAAAAUUAGCCGGGUGUGGUGGUGGGCAACUGUAGUCCCAGCUACUGGGGAGGUUGAGGCAGGAGAAAGGCGUGAACCCGGGAGGCGGAGCUUGCAGUGAGCCAAGAUCGCACCACUACACUCCAGCCUGGGAGACAGAGCGAGACUCCGUCUCAAAAAAAAAAACAAAACAAAAAACAAAGAGAAAUUGGGUUCUUACUGUGUUGCCCAUGCUGGUCUUGAACUCCUGGGUUGAAGCAAUCCUCCCACCUGAGCCCCACAAAGUACUGGGAUUACAAGUGUGAGCCACUGUGCCCAGCCUGAGUUAAGGUUUUCAAAGCACUUGGCACAAAGCCAGGCCACGUGUGGUAGCAGAACCAUGGCACCUCCUGGAAGCUGGUUUCAUCUCAUCAGCUGUCUUCUGGAUACGAUAUUGUUUGCCCUGCCUGCCACAUAGGAUUGUCAUGAGUUGUAAAUGACUUAUGACACGUUUAUAAACAGAAAAACAUUACACCAAUGUUAGUUAGUGGUAUGGUGAGGCAGCCAGCACACUGGAAAAAGCAUGACCUUGGCCCUGGCUGGGCCUUUUAUUUACUGUGUGACCUUGGACGGAUGAUUUCACCUGCUGAAUUGGUAUUAUGAGAAUAUAUUCUUUUUUACCUAGCCUGGGCAACAAAGCAAGACCUUGUCUCUACCAAAAAAUUUUUUAAAAAUUAGCUGGGCAUGGUGGCAUGCACCUGUAGUCCCAGCUACUUGGGAGGCUGAGGUGGGAGGAUCGCUUGAGCCUGGGAGUUGGAGGCUGCAGUGAGCUAUAAUCACACCCCUGCACACCAGUCUGAGUGAGAGUGAGACCUUGUCUCAAAAUACAUAUAUAUAUACACACACGCACACACACAUCACAUAUAUACAUACAUAUAUAUAUUCUUUUUAGAGAUAUAGAAUUUAAAUUGAAAUGUAAUACAUUAUUUAAAACAUAAUAAGUAAUAAAAAGGCUGGGCACAGUGGCUCACACCUGUAAUCCCAGCACUUUGGGAGGCCGAGGUGGGCGGAUCACAAGGUCAGAAGAUCGAGACCAUCUUGGCCAACAGGGUGAAACCCCGUCUCUACUAAAAAUACAAAAAUUAGUCGGGCAUGGUGGUGUGUACCUGUAGUCCCAACUACUCGGGAGGCUGAGGCAGGGGAAUCGCUUGAACCCGGGAAGUGGAGGUUGCAGUGAGUUGAGAUCGUGCCACCACACUCCAGCCUGGCGACAGAGGAAGACUCCAUCUCAAAAAAAAAAGUAAUAAAAAUAUAUAAUCUGAAAUUAUUUUUCAGCCGGGCAUGGUGGCUUAUGCCUGUAAUCCCAGCACUUUGGGAGGCCGAGGCGAGCGGAUCACGAGGUCAGGAGUUCGAGACCAGCCUAACCAACAUGGUGAAACCCCGUCUCUACUAAAAAUACAAAAAUUAGCUGGGCGUGGUGGUGUGCGCCUGUAAUCUCAGCUACUUGGAAGGCCGAGGCGGGAGCAUUGCUUGAACCCGGGAGGCGGAGGUUGUGGUGAGCUGAGAUCGUGCCAUUGCACUCCAGCCUGGGCAAUAAGAGCGAAACUCUGUCUCAAAAGAAAAAAAAAAAAAAGAAAUUAUUUUUCAACUUCAUAGGUCAAGGCCUCCUCCCCUGGGGUAAGGAGAAGCCCAAAUGCAAAGUUUACCCUGUUGUCUACAUGCUAGAAUUUACCAUGGAAAACCAGAGUCAUGGUUUUUCCUAAGAUCAAUGGGGAAAAUGUCCAAACCCUAACAAGGGUCACCUCUGAAUGGAGUGGCCACUCAUUGCUGUCAGCAUUCUCAAAGCCGCUCUGAAGUCAUGGUCUAUGGAGGGAAAUGACCUCGGUUUGGAAGCCCUCGGGCUGGAGUUCCCUCAGCAUCAGAGGUAUCCAGGGACGCUGGGUGAGUCACUCCUCCCCAGUGGACUUGCCCUUCAACCUUGAUGAGGACGAACACCUCAUUAAGGAGCAAUAGCUCUCCCCUCACCUUAAUGCCUUACAUGGGGUUGGCGUAGCCCCGGGCCAUCCUGCCAAUCCACUGUGAGACUUCUCCAGCUGUCCUAGGAUGCCUCUGGCCUUGGACAGCCUUCCUGUUCUUCCUCCUCUGGGGCCCACAGUCUGAUCCUGACCCCCACCAUUCUUCAUUGCAGACUCUCAUCCAGCUGGAGAAAGGAGGGGUGGGAGAAUGCCAAGGCCCAAGCCCACUUUCUCUGCUGUGCCCACCAUCACGUCUUCGCUGCGUGUGGCAAGUGCCCCUGCAGUACAGGGCUGCUGUACAAAUCAUUCAUCAAGGCAGGCGAGAGAGAGACUGACAUCUGGGGUAUAGGCUUUUAACUACCUCAUCCUGGAAGUGACAUAUGUCACUUUCACUGCCAUAUCAUUAGCCAGACCUAGCCACAGGCCCACCCAUGAAAGGAUCUACAGGGGCCAGGCACAGUGCCUCAUGCCUGUAAUGCCAGCACUCUUGGAGGCAGAGGCUGGUGGAUCACCUGAGGUCAGGAGUUCAAAACCAGCCUGGCCAACAUGGCAAAAAACCAUCUCUACUAAAUAUACAAAAAUCAGCCGGGGUGGUUGCAGGCGCCUGUAGUCCCAGCUACUUGGGAGGCUGAGGCAGGAGAAUCGCUUGAACCCGGGAGGCAGAGGUUGCAGUGAGCCGAGAUCUCGCCAUUCCACUCCAGCCUGGUGACAGAGUGAGACUCUGUCUCAAAAAAAAAAAAAAAAAAAAAGCUGAGCGCAGUGGCUCACGCCUGUAAUCCCAGCACUUGGGGAGGCCGAGGCAGGCGGAUCACGAGGUCAGGAGAUCGAGACUAUCCUGGCUAACACAGUGAAACCCCAUCUCUACUAAAAAUACAAAAAAUUAGCCGGGUAUGGUGGCGGGCACCUGUAGUCCCAGCUACUACUUGGGAGGCUGAGGCAGGAGAAUGGCAUGAACCUGGGAGGCGGAGCUUGCAGUGAGCCAAGAUCAUGCCACUGCACUCCAGCCUGGGCGACAGAGCAAGACUCCUCCUCAAAAAAAGAAAAAAAAGAAAGGAUACAGGGCAGGGCUGGGCAUUUCGUGAGCACUGUGGUCUGCUUGUCUCAAUUGAGAUCUUUUUUUUUUUUUCGAGAUGGAGUUUCGCUCUGUCGCCCAGGCUGGAGUGCAGUGACUUGAUCUCAGCUCACUGCAACCUCCACCUCCUUAGUUAAGUGAUCCUCUUGUCUCAGCCUCCUAAGUAGCUGGGAUUACAGGCAAGUACCACCAUGCCCGGUGAAUUUUUUUUAUUUUUAAUAGAGACAGGGUUUUGCCAUGAUAGCCAUGGUUGGUCUCAAACUUGUGACCUCAAGUGAUCCACCUGCCUCGGCCUCCCAAAGUGCUGGGAUUACAGGCCACUGCACCCGGCCAACAGUCGGGAUCUUUCUGCUCAGCCUUUCAGCCAACAUUGAUUGACUCCAGAAUUAGAGGCCAUUAGAGUGGGAAGGACCUUGGGAACCAUCUCAGCCAGUGAACUCCAAAAUUAAAAUCACAUCAGGCUGGGCACUGUGGCUUAUGCCUGUAAUGCCAGCACUUUGGGAGGCCGAGGU
rnacentral:lncRNA from 10 species